rnacentral:rRNA from 1 species
UACGUAGGGCGCAAGCGUUGUCCGGAAUUAUUGGGCGUAAAGAGCUCGUAGGCGGUCUGUUGCGUCCGCUGUGAAAACUCGGGGCUUAACCCCGAGCCUGCAGUGGAUACGGGCAGACUAGAGGUAGGUAGGGGAGAAUGGAAUUCCCGGUGUAGCGGUGAAAUGCGCAGAUAUCGGGAGGAACACCGGUGGCGAAGGCGGUUCUCUGGGCCUUACCUGACGCUGAGGUGCGAAAGCCAGGGGAGCAAACGGG